ensembl:lncRNA
NNNNNNNNNNACUGCAGCAUCGCGGCAUCACGGCACAGCGCAGCAGCGUAGCGUCGCGGUGCAGCAUCGCGGCGCAGCAUCGCGGCGCAGCAUCGCCGUGCAUCGCAGCAGUGCAUCACUACAGCGCAGCAUUGCAGCGCACUGCAGCAGUGCAGCAUCACGGCACAGUGCAGCAACGUAGCAUCACCGUGCAGCAUCACGGUGCAGCAUUGCAACACACCGCAACGGCGCAGCAUCGUGAUGCGGCAUCGCGACGUGCAGCAGUGGUGCAGCAUCACGGUGCAGCAUCGCGGCGCAGCAUUGCAGCGCAGCAUCACGACACACCGCAACGGUGCAGCAUUGCGAUGCAGCAUCGCAGCGCAUUGCAACGGUGCAGCAUCACAAUGCAGCAUCAUGGCGCAGCAUCGCAGCACACCGCAACGGUGCAGCAUCGCAGCGCAGCAUCAUGGUGCACCGCAACGGUGCAGCAUCAUGGCAUGGCAUCGCGACACACCGCAACGGUGCAGCAUCGCGGCACAGCAUCACAGUGCACUGCAACAGCGCAGCAUGAUGAUGCAGCAUCGCGACACACCGCAACGGCGCAGCAUCACGACGCGGCAUCGCGGCACACCGCAACGGUGCAGCAUCACAGCGCAGCAUCACGGUGCACCGCAACGGUGCAGCACCACGAUGCAGCAUGACAACACACCGCAACAGUGCAGCAUCACGGCGCAGCAUCACGACACACUGCAACGGUGCAGCAUCAUGAUGCAGCAUUGCGACACACCGCAACGGUGCAGCAUCACGACGCGGCAUCACGACACACCGCAACGGUGCAGCAUCACGAUGCAGCAUCACGACACACCGCAAUGGUGCAGCAUCGUGAUGCAGCAUCACGACACACCGCAGCGGUGCAGCAUCACGGCGCAGCAUCACGGCGCAGCAUCGUGGUGCAGCAUCGCGGCACACUGCAAUGGCGCAGCAUCGCAGUGCAGCAUCGUGGCACACUGCAAUGGUGCAGCAUCGCGGCACGGCAUCGCAACGCACCGCAACGGCGCAGCAUCAUGAUGCAGCAUUGCAGCGCACUGCAAUGGUGCAGCAUCACAGCGCAGCAUCACGGCACACUGCAACGGUGCCGCACCGCGAUGCAGCAUGACGACACACCGCAACGGUGCAGCAUCGCAGCGCAGCAUCACGGUGCACUGCAACGGUGCAGCAUCACAGCGCGGCAUCGCGGCACACUGCAACAGUGCAGCAUCGCAGUGCAGCAUUGCUGCACAGCAUCGCGACACACUGCAAUGGUGCAGCAUCACGGUGCAGCAUCACGGCACACCGCAACGGUGCAGCAUCAUGAUGCAGCAUCACGACACACCGCAACGGUGCAGCAUUGCGGCACGGCAUCGCGGCACACUGCAACGGUGCAGCAUCGUGGCGCGGCAUCGCGACACCGCAACGGUGCAGCAUCACGAUGCGGCAUCGCGACACACCGCAACGGUGCAGCAUCGCAGCACAGCAUCACAGUGCACUGCAACAGUGCAGCAUCACGACGCAGCAUCGCGACACACCGCAACGGCGCAGCAUCACGACGCGGCAUCGCGGCACACCGCAACGGUGCAGCACCGCGGCGCGGGGACGCGUCCUCACCCUGCAGCCCCUCCUUGGCCUGCAGCCGGCCCCGGCUCUCGGCCUGCAGCUGCUCCAGCGCCGCCUUCNUUGCAAUGGGCUGCAGCACUGCAGCAUCGCGGCAUCACGGCACAGCGCAGCAGCGUAGCGUCGCGGCGCAGCAUCGCGGCGCAGCAUCGCCGUGCAUCGCAGCAGUGCAUCACUACAGCGCAGCAUUGCAGCGCACUGCAGCAGCGCAGCAUCACGGCACAGUGCAGCAACGUAGCAUCACCGUGCAGCAUCACGGUGCAGCAUUGCAACACACCGCAACGGUGCAGCGUCGUGGUGCAGCAUCGUGGUGCACCGCAACGGUGCAGCAUUAUGGUGUAGCAUUGCAGCGCAGCAUCACGGCACACUGCAACGGUGCAGCAUCGCGAUGCAGCAUUGCAACACACCGCAACGGCGCAGCAUCGCGAUGCAGCAUCGCGACACACUGCAAUGGUGCAGCAUCACAGCGCAGCAUCGCAACGCAGCAUCACGGCACACCGCAACGGCGCAGCAUCGCGAUGCAGCAUCGCGACACACUGCAAUGGUGCAGCAGCGCAGCGCAGCAUCGCAACACAGCAUCACGGCAUACUGCAACGGUGCAGCAUCGCGAUGCAGCAUCGCAGCGCAUUGCAACGGUGCAGCAUCACAGUGCAGCAUCACGGCACAGCAUCGCGACACACCGCAAUGGUGCGGCAUUUCAGCGCAGCAUCAUGGUGCACCGCAGCGGUGCAGCAUCACAGUGCAGCAUCGCGGCACACUGCAACAGUGCAGCAUCGCAGUGCAGCAUUGCUGCGCAGCAUCGCGACACACUGCAAUGGUGCAGCAUCACGACGCAGCAUCGCGACACACCGCAACGGUGCAGCAUCGCGGCGCAGCAUUGCGGCACACCGCAGCGGUGCAGCAUCAUGGCGCAGCAUCAUGGUGCAGCAUCGUGGUGCAGCAUCGUGGCACACUGCAAUGGUGCAGCAUCGUGGUGCAGCAUCGCGACACACCGCAAUGGGGCAGCAUCGCAGUGCAGCAUCGUGGCACACUGCAAUGGUGCAGCAUCGCGACGCAGCAUCGCAACACACCACAACGGCGCAGCAUCGCGAUGCAGCAUCGCAGCGCACUGCAAUGGUGCAGCAUCACAGCGCAGCAUCACGGCACACCGCAACGGUGCAGCACCGCGAUGCAGCAUGACGACACACCGCAACGGUGCAGCAUCACGACGCAGCAUCGCGACACACCGCAACAGUGCAGCAUCGCAGCGCAGCAUCACGACACACCGCAACGGUGCAGCAUCGCGGCACGGCAUCGCAACACACCGCAACGGUGCAGCAUCACGGCGCAGCAUCGCGACACCGCAACGGUGCAGCAUCGCAGCACAGCAUCACAGUGCACUGCAACAGUGCAGCAUCAUGAUGCAGCAUCGCGACACACCGCAACAGUGCAGCAUCACGACGCGGCAUCGCGGCACACCGCAACGGUGCAGCAUCACGAUGCAGCAUCGCGACACACCGCAACGGCGCAGCAUCACGACGCAGCAUCAUGACACACCGCAACGGCGCAGCAUCACGACGCGGCAUCGCGACACACCGCAACGGCGCAGCACCGCGGCGCGGGGACGCGUCCUCACCCUGCAGCCCCUCCUUGGC